rnacentral:misc_RNA from 1 species
UCCCCGUUACCGGGGCAGUCUGAAUAGAAAAAUACAACUAUUCACAAGGGUUGCGCUCGUUGAUGGACUUAACCAAACAUCUCACGACACGAGCUGACGACGGCCAUGCAACAUCUGUCACUUGGUUCAAUAAAGCACUCACUCCUUUCGGAGUAGUUCCAAGGAUGUCAAACCCUGGUAAGGUUCUUCGUUUAUCAUCGAAUUAAAGAACACGAUCCACCGCUUGUGCGGGUCCCCGUCAAUUCCUUUAUGUUUUAGUCUUGCGACCGUACUCCACAGGCGGGAUACUUAACGCGUUAGCUUCGGCACGGAAGGUGGGGAUGACGUCCCAGUAUCGGAA